rnacentral:lncRNA from 1 species
GUUUUAAUUUCAUCAUUCGCCGCCUGAAGAGACAAGAUGGCGGAGCUUGCGAAAUCGAAAAUUGGUACUUGAAAGUCAAUGGUUGAUCAUGAUGACCAUCUUUUAUUUAAUGGAGAAAGAAACCAAUAUUUGCAGCUGGACAGGUUGUCACCACUGUUCAAUGAUUUAGGUCAGACAUCAGCUUUUGAAAUUGCUUUAUUGGCACAUCAUGUUGUCCAGUGGAGUUCAUACCAUAUGCCAGGCCUUUAUACAUGGUCAAAGAAGAUGAAUUUGUUAUUUAAUUUGUGUAAUUUGAUUUAGCGAGGACUUUCAUAUAUGAUGAUUAUAUUCAGCAGAUUAUCUUCAAGUGUGCACUUUCUAGAAUCACAGUUUCUAGGAAGUUUUCAGUUUAAAGUUAGAUUAAUUGAAAAAUAAGGGGAGCUAUCAUACUCACCAUGGUAUCGACAUUGGCAUUACACCAGGUUUAAGUUUUUCUUACCAGUCCAUAUUUUAAAAGGACCUUUUGACAGUAUUGAAACUUACAACAGUAAUGUAUCAUCAUUAUACCAAGUUUUAGGCAAGAGUACAUAACUCCAUCAAGGAUUUGACUGAACUAUGGCCCUUUGAAACUUUUGUCACUUGUUUAUAAUAAUAGUCUCUCUAUAUAGGCAAGAGUUCAUAACACUAUAGAGUAUUUUGGAUGAAUUAUGUCCCUUUUGGACUUUGAAAUUGAUUCAGUUUUUGUACAAGUCCACAUUU